AACAGGAUUAGAUACCCUGGUAGUCCACGCCCUAAACGAUGUCAACUGGUUGUUGGACGGCUUGCUGUUCAGUAACGAAGCUAACGCGUGAAGUUGACCGCCUGGGGAGUACGGCCGCAAGGUUGAAACGCAAAGGAAUUGACGGGGACCCGCACAGGCGGUGGAUGAUGUGGUUUAAUUCGAUGCAACGCGAAAAACCUUACCUACCCUUGACAUGUCAAGAACUUGCCAGAGAUGGCUCGGUGCUCGAAAGAGAACUUGAACACAGGUGCUGCAUGGCCGUCGUCAGCUCGUGUCGUGAGAUGUUGGGUUAAGUCCCGCAACGAGCGCAACCCUUAUCAUUAGUUGCUACGCAAGGGCACUCUAAUGAGACUGCCGGUGACAAACCGGAGGAAGGUGGGGAUGACGUCAGGUCAUCAUGGCCCUUAUGGGUAGGGUUACACACGUCAUACAAUGGCCGGUACAGAGGGCUGCCAACCCGCGAGGGGGAGCUAAUCUCAGAAAACCGGUCGUAGUCCGGAUCGCAGUCUGCAACUCGACUGCGUGAAGUCGGAAUCGCUAGUAAUCGCGGAUCAGCUUGCCGCGGUGAAUACGUUCCCGGGUCUUGUACACACCGCCCGUCACACCAUGGGAGCGGGUUCCGCCAGAAGUAGUUAGCUUAACCGCAAGGAGGGCGAUUACCACGGCAGGGUUCGUGACUGGGGUGAAGUCGUAACAAGGUAACC
rnacentral:rRNA from 1 species